CAAUGCCUUCUUCUGUUGUGUUUGAAGACAGCUACAGUGUACUCAUAUACAUUAAAUAAAUCUUUAUAAAAAAAUUAAGCUUUGGGGGCACAAGAACCUCUAAACUUAUUAAAACUAAUGCUGCCAAGUACUUAAGCUUUAACAGAUUUUUUGCUUUGAGAGUCUUGUUACUUAUGUAGGCAAAGUUAGUCUUGAACUUUGAUCUCCCUACCUCGCCUCUCACCAUGACUAGCUCAACUCAGAUUAUGUGACUACUAUACUACAAAACAUAUGGAUAUCAUGAUGGUCAUAUCAUACGUUAUCCACCACUCCAUGCAUCAAAGAGUGCAGAAAAAACAUGAGAAAAAAAAAAGACUUAAAAGAAGUUUAUAGCUUUCUACAAAGUUUAACCAAUGAAAGCUGAUCAUGGUGACACAGGCCUGUAAUUAUAAUCCUAGCACUUAGGCUGAAGCAACAAGGUCAUGAAUUCAACAUAAGCUCAAGUAAAAUAAAGACCUUGUCUUUUAAAAACUAAUUAUAUACAUAUUUUUAAAACAUGCAAGCUAAGUAUCAACUAGGUGACACUGGGUGGAUAAAUGUUCACUCACUUUGUGGUGCUGAGGAUGGAUCAACCUUGUACAUGCUCUGCCACUAAGCUAGACCCCUAGCUCUCUAGGAUUUAAAACAGUUUAAGUUUUUUCUUUUAAUUUAAUGUUCCUUUUUUGUGUGCUCUGAAAACCACAUGUCCCCUUGAGCUAUGACAGUUUCACUUAUUCUUUGUUUUUGACAAAGCUAAGAAGCCUAAGGAGUAUUAGCUAGACACUCUGUAUGUUUUCUCUUCAUCAGUCUGGGGCUAGGGGACCCUGGCAGAAUAACUACAUGGGCAGUGAGUGCCUUCCAUCACUUUUCACCUACUAUCCACAUGACCUACCACUCUCAAUGUUACCACUGACAGGUGCAUGAGGAGUGUGUGUCAUAGCUCUCUGGUGUACACUGUCUCCACUUUUUCUAUUCUACCCUCUUGACAAGCAUUGCACAGCCCACACUCAAGAGGUGCAAAGUCAUGUUCCCCGUCUGUGAGAAGCAUCUACAGAGGCUAACAGGCACAUUCUACACUGGAGCUACAGGGGAUUCUCUUAUAUAUAUAUACACACACAUACAUAUAAACACACACAUAUAUGUAUAUAUACAUAACACACAUAUAUACAUACAUGAGUAAAUUUUGUAAUGAUUUACUUAUUUUUAUUUUAUGUGCAUUGGUGUUUUGUCUGCAUGAGGAUUUUGGAUCUGCUGGAACUAGAGUUGUAGGCAGUUCUGAGUUGCCAUUUGGUGCUGUGAAUUGAACACUGACCCUCUAGAACAGCCAGAGCUCUUAACAGUGGAGCCAUCUCUCCAGCCCCUCUUCAGAGAUGGUAAUUAGAGACUUAUCAAUCCCUUUAGAAAAGUAAACAAAAUAAUACAUGACCUUGAAAAGAGAUAGUAUUUUUAGGCCCAGCCUGCAAGGUAGGCCUGGAGAAAAUAAAAGAAGAGACUCUUGUUCCCUCACCACCAUACACCAAUAAUAGAUCAGAGCAGUCUGCCCUCUUCUUGUUACAGAAUGGGCAAUUUUAGAAACACAUCUUAGAACCUGGGACAGCAGCUAGAGGAUCUUCUCUGCAGCACUUGCAGCUGGUCACUAGGAAAGCCUACUGCUAUGCUGCAAGCACUGAAGGCUAUGAAAUUAUACAACAGACACUAUUACCAGCUCAAUAAGUAAGUCAAUUUCUUUUACUAAGCCAACAGACUAUUAAUUGCAGUCUCUAAGACUUGGUGUUAUUUUUCCCAAUAGAGAUACACUCUUCCAUUUAUCAACUAGUUCUUCUCCAAUAGGUUAAGGACACGGAUGUUUUAAAGAUAAGAUCUUACUACCAGUUAAGCAGGCAUUUGUAAAUGGUGCCAAAAAAGCAUUAAGUUCCAGAACAACUAAUAGUGGUGCCUAGCCUAAUCCCUGGCACAUGGCCGUGCUCAGACAUUUGCUGAAUGAUGAACAAAUGAGUUCCAAGAAGCAGAGGGGACAAGCAGCUGUCUACACUGGUAUGCGGUGCUCAAAUGGUACCAGGCAAAUCUCUAAGGCCUGCCAUGCUAUUCCUAAUGUCUCUCUUCAGCAAAAGGGAACAUUUUCUCAAAUCCAGCAGGUAAACUACAGAAGUCUUGCAUAUUAGUAUCACUUAAUGUUAGAAAGAUGUUAGAACAGCAUUUUACUGGAUGGUCAAUAAACUUUUGUUUAGUUAAUUUAAAAUUCCCUUAAUAGUAGUUAAAGCAGAUUAGUACAAAGUCCAAGAAGAAACUUAAGAAAGUUAAGCCAAACAAAAGUUUUUGGAGUCAUAUAGUUGUAUACAUAUAUAGUUGUAUACAAAAGGAGAUUCUUUGCACAUGGAAACCAGAGCUCAAAGUUUUCUGAGUGGAAAGAAUGAAGAAACACAGGGCAUCAAGUCUGAGCAUCCAGGCAGAGUAUUAGUAAUACCACAUCUUUGGUGGACUGCUGAACACAAGAGCAGGACUUCUCUGACUCAUUUCAAUGUCACAACCCAGCACAGGAACAAGGCACAGUGUUCAUUGCUACAGCAGGGGUAGGUACUUUAGGACCUGAAAAUUAGAUUCUUUUAAAAUCUAACAUGUAUCAUCUCUUAAUGUGCAUAAAUUUUGAACAUUUGGAAAAGGUACAGUUUUCUAAAAUUUACCAAUAUCCACAAAAGCAUUCCUUUAAAAUUCUCACCCCAAAGCAAAUUAAUCGUGAAGACAAAAGACUGUUAAAGACAGCCCCUGCCUGUGUGAGGUGAUAUAGUUCUACUUAACUCUUAGCUCAACGACUACUUACGAGAAUAUGCUUGAACUAAGAACAAGAUACAUCUGGUUUCUCCUGCCCAAUUUUUCAGGUUUUUGAGAUUUCAAUUUUAUCUUUAUAGAUUUGCUGGGUUUGAUGUUUUAAUACUACUCAUUUUUGGUUAAAAAUAAAUAUCUAUAUUUAAAUUUAACCUGAAUGCACUAUUAAAAUUCAGAACUCUGAAGUAUUUGUUUCUAGGACACAUACUAUAUAGCAAAGUUAUGUCAAAUUCAUGACCACUUUAGUCUGUGGAUGGUUAUACCUAAAUGGUACUUAGAACAUUGGAGUCAUGGCUUAAAGGAGAGGAAAGAGAUCACUUUAGACUUAGGUUUAAGAGUUUAAUCCACACUAAAAGGCAUCGUUGGACUUGUAAAUGUACAUACAGUUCAAAGCACAUCAUUACCCAUAGGCAUUCCUACCAUACUCUCACUAAGCCCUACGACAAAGCGACUGAAGUGGACACUGAACUAAGAUUCUAAAUACCCUUCCAAAGACUCCCUUAUGCAAGCUUCUUACUGAGCUAUCUCACGGUCACUAUAUAAAUUCUACUCACCAUUUCUAUUCUCCAUUCAAGUGCUAUUUAUUAUUUUUUAAAUAAUUAAAAAAUAGUAACCCUAAAUAUAACUGUACAAAAAUCCCUACAAGCCAACAUCUGUGUAAUACAUUACUAUACAAAACAUUUUAACCAUCAAAAAAGAGUUGGAUUAUGAAGUAUUUUGGUAGCAGAGGGAUUUUUACAUCCCGCAGAUCUGCCUGAAGAUUGUCUUGCUACCAGCCAGGGCAAAUUUGUUGCCCCACCCCACCUCACCCCACCCCCGCCGCCCUUUUUCUCUUCAGGGCUUCUAAGUAUAGUGACAGCCGCGUGAGGUUUUCCUAGUCUCAGCACAAGCUCGGGGAGAAUCUGGGAAAUGUAAGUGGAAACAUGAGACACGGCUCUAUUUAGCAGUACUUAAAAAAAAAAUAGCAGGACAAAUGGCAAAGCAGUGUUGGGACCACAGGAAGAACAAUCAAUAGGCAGAAAGCAAGAUAGAAUCCUCCUCAGCUUUUAGAUCGACAAUCGACAGCUGAGAGACUAUUUUUUGCUAUGGCUGACUAAAUAUGGUCAGGGAAGAGAGAGGCACAAGAGAGUCUGUUUGCCUGGGAGUGCAUGUUUCAAAUGCUUAGCUGCCUAUAAAGCUCGAGCAGCCUAGGCUGUGGCCACUGAGUCGGGAAGAACAUAGGUUGGCUUCUGUGGUGACUAUGUGGGAGUCCUGACCUCGCUUGCAGACUUGACCUCUGGAUAUAACAAGGUAGCUUCACUCCAGAUCUACCACUAACCCUGGAAACUCAAACUCCUGCUCCUCCAAAAGAAUCCCAAAGCAAGAAAGAUGCAGAAUAUUUCCUGAGGCACCAGAAGAACCCAGUAUGGUCUGGUGGGCACAGGAAACUGGGUGAAUGCUUGCAGCUAAUUGGGAGAAUGUGAGGAUCUAGAAGCAAAUUAUAAAGAAGAGGGAGGCACGACGGAGAGAGCAGCAAGCGUGCUAACAUUUCUGAAUACACUUAAGACUCUGCUGACUGCAUCUCUUGGAAAAGAAGCAGCAGGGCAAAGCAUGGCAGUGCUUAAAAGAACCACAAGCAGAAGUGGCAUUGAUGGGAUCAGAGAAACUUUCCUCACAAGUGUCUAAGUGAAAAGAAACUGAAGGAGACAAAACCAGAGACCAAUAUCCACCCAAUUUUCGCAGUAACUACAAGAGAACUGCAAAUGGUUUGCGUUGCUUACUAAGCAUACAUCUCAGCAAUGGUGAAGGCCGGCAGGCAGGUGCCUGGGUAACCUGGGACGCCUGUUCAUCCAAAUAAAGCUGGCUUUCACUUCUUAA